UCUUAUAGAUAAGCAAAGAAAGUGGUUUCUUAAAACAGAAUCUACUCCGGUGAAGAUGUUAUGAA
rnacentral:pre_miRNA from 1 species